AUAGGAUUGCUAAAAUCGUGCAGUGUGUAGAAGGCUUUAGAUAAGUUAGGUGUAUGGAUGUUAUUUUCCACCAUUUACCUUUUUUUGCUCUUUCUUUUCUUUGAGAGACUGUUUGUGAUCGGCAAAAAUUGUUGUUUGUCUAAACGACGGGACAUUUCUCAUCUGUUACCUAGCUAGUUUUCUCUCGUGCCUGCAGCGGACAAAACUGCGCUUGAACCCCGGACCAGUGAGAUCGACUAAGAUUAUUUUCUUCUUUUCCUUUUGUUUUAUCUCUCAAUGUUGUUUAUGAGGAAUGUAAGUUAAUUUAAUUCAUACAGCAGCCGCGAUUGCAAUGGAGGAGAGACGAUAGUGGCGCUAAAAUGGUGAGUGCGAUAAUUUAACGACCACGUUUAAUAGACAUGGCUGUUUUUAAAAAAAAAUAAGUUUAAAAUAAUUAAAGGUAUGAAUACAAAAACGGAUGAAUAUACUUUUGUUCAAUCAAGGUUCAGAGCCCUCUUAACGACUAUCUUGUUUUCGAAGGAAGAAGAAAUGGAAGAGAUGCUUUAGAAGUGUUAAAUAUGGCCCUCAUAACUGUGAAAAGAGAGCACAGCUAACGUUAUAUAAACAUUAUCCCCGGUUUCACAGGUCAGUCUCAGACUAAAAUGCAUGUUCAAGCUGUCUCAACUGAAAAUAUCUUUUACUGGCACAUCUUAAAAUAUGUCAGUGGCAUUGUCGUGUCUCAAGAUGCACACCAGUAAAGUUCUUAAGGCAUUUUUAUAGAAGUUAUUUAAAUAUCCUAAUUUAACUAAGGCCUAGACCUGGCUUAAACUAAGCUCUGUCUGUGAAACCCUGUCUCUAUGUUCAAACAUGGAUGUUAUACACGAACGAAACAAUGUUGUUGUUCACAUCAGGCAUGUACAUACAUUUAAAUUACUUUAUGCGCUAAAAUGUACACUUAUAUCACCUCACAGCAGAACUCCAGAUCAGCUGUAUGUCAUGUGUGUUAACUGAGACCUGUUCUGAGGAGGAUCACUUUAUUGACAGACACACUGUACAGUUAAAUGUAAACCCUUAAGUCAGAUGCCAUUAUAAAGACUGUAACGUUAAUGUUUGCUCUUCACAGAAAAGUUGUCAAUGACAACAGUUGUCCUGACAUCACCCAAAGUAAACCAGGACGCAGAUGACAAGACAGACUCCAGUAAGAAUUAUCAGCGUUGAUCAAGAAAGUUCAGAUCUAACCCAUCUAGAGUGGGAGACAUCUUGAAAGGAAACUUUGUAAUGGCUGAACCGACUGAUCUCAGGCCUUCUAUGUCCAUUUUUUCAGACUGUUUUAUGCUCUGCACCUGGACUAAGUGUUUGAAAAGCACUUUAUAUUUUAUUCAGCAGGUAAUGCUCAACCUUGGAAAAAGGUGAGUUAGCACCUAAAAUUCAGUACUGCCAAUACUGUGAACUCAGAGUGGAAUAAAACCAUAGAGUUUUGA